AUAGUUUUUAUGUAAGAAUAGAGUUAAGGGCUUCUUUUUACAUUAUUAAGUAGAAUUUUAAUGUAGAGUGAUAACAUAGAGGCAUAAAAGUAAGAAUUAUAGUAGGAACCAGGAUUAGAUACCCUGUUACUUAUAAGUAAAGAAUUCUGGAAUAGUAAUAUUGGAAAAAAUUUAACGGAUUUGGCGGCAAGAUAGCCAUUUAGAGGAACCUGCCCUGUGAACGAUGAGCCACGAAAACCUUACUUUUGUUAGUAUCCAGUUUGUAUACCGCUGUUGUCAGUCAGUUUCUUUAGAAAACUUUCGUUUAUGAUUUUAUCAUUGACUUCAAGUAAAGGUGCAGCUAAUACAGAAGAUAGAGGUGGGUUACAUUUAUAAGAAUAAAACGGAUGAAGUUCGUGAAAAGUCUUUUGAAGGUGGAUUUAAUUGUAAAGUUUAAGUAAACUUGAUGGGAGCUCUGUCUUGUGUACACACCGCCCGUCGCUCUCUUUCUAAAAC
rnacentral:rRNA from 1 species